GGGAGGCGGCGCUCAAGGAAGAUAGGGAUGGAAAGACAAGGGGUAUUCUUGUGUACUUCUAGUCUUUUGAGUUUGCGUUCUAUUUGCAUCUCAUGUUGACUAUUUUGACUAUCACAAAUACAUUGUCGACGGCAUUUCAAUGGAAAGAUCACGAUAUUGUGAAUGUUGUUAAUUGUUCAAGAUCUACUAGAAACCGUUUAGAUCGAGUUAGACGAGAUGAGUUGGAGACAGUACUCGGUGAAGUGAAUGAGUUUUGUGAUAAACAUCGAUCCAACUAAGCCAAGGAAAAAACAGGAAAAGUGGAGAAAGAAAAAAUAUUGAAAGUUACAAAUGAUGUUGUAGUGGACCGCUUCAGGAAAAGUGGAAAUAGAAAAUACUAAGGGUAAUUUGUUCAUGAAUCAAUUAUUUCUUAUAAUAUUGGAUCAUCUAAUUAACACUUUUUUAGUCAUUAUCUCAUCAAGAACUCAUCUUAAUGGUGUAUUUUGCCAAUUGAUAUACAGACCAUAUAAUAUUUUGUUGGUGUUU
rnacentral:lncRNA from 1 species